AUCUCCUCCACUGGAAGAAUGGUUCUCGUGAGGUUUGUACUUUCGGCAAUGCCAAUUUUCAUGCUUCUGGCUGUUCAUCAACCGAAAUGGGUCAUCAAGCAAAUCGAUAAGCUACGUCGUGCUUUUUUAUGGUCUAGCUCUGAUGCUGUCUGCGGUGGAAAGUGCCUUGUCCGCUGGACCCAGGUGUGCUCACCAUCUCUGUAG
rnacentral:rRNA from 1 species